CCUACGGGUGACAGCAGUGAGGAAUAUUGGUCAAUGGACGGGAGUCUGAACCAGCCUUGCCGCGUGCGGGAAGACGGCUCUAUGUGUUGUAAACUUCUUUUGUCCGAGGAUAAACCUUAAUACGUGUAUUCAGCUGAGAGUACUUUACGAAUAAGGAUCGGCUAACUCCGUGCCAGCAGCCGCGGUAAUACGGAGGAUGCGAGCGUUAUCCGGAUUUAUUGGGUUUAAAGGGUGCGUAGGCGGUUUAUCAAGUCAGCGGUAAAAUCGUGGAGCUCAACUCCAUCCAGCCGUUGAAACUGAUGAUCUUGAGUGGGCGAGAAGUAUGCGGAAUGCGUGGUGUAGCGGUGAAAUGCAUAGAGAUCGCGCAGAACUCCGAUUGCGAAGGCAGCAUACCGGCGCCCGACUGACGCUGAAGCACGAAAGCGUGGGUAUCGAACAGGAUUAGAUACCCUUGUAGUC
rnacentral:rRNA from 1 species